GGAAACACUGGCCAUGAGAGCCUCCACUGCCAUCUUGUCUUUGUUCCCGAUGGCCAUGGGAUGUGGUGUGCAGGAACAGUCAUCAUCUGAUCCUGGAGAAGCCAUGAGGACACAACCUAUGACAAGAGUUCACUCUUGUUUUUGAUCCUGGUGGUGAACGCCAUUUUACCAGAACUGAGGCAUCUAGAAAUCUUCACAUGGCUGACACUGCAUGAGAAAGUGCCUGUUCCACCAGCACAGAUUUGUGAAGACAGAAAAUAGUAACAUAACAAACCACACCCCAGGCACUAAUUUGGCUGGAGGACAGCAGAAGGACCAGCUGGAUAACCUACUGUUGAUGACAUUCACCAAUACACAAGACCAAGGUUUCAGGCCCUAUUCUCCUGCACACCUGGGAGAUACAUCUGAGCAAAGACCUCUGGGGGACUGGCAGGGAGGGGUUGACAAGGAUUCUGUCAUACAGCCACUGGAUGCCAGCACGUUGGACACUUGGGUUAAAUAGCUUCUGUAUCCUUGCUCUCAUGAUUGAUCUCUUGGCUUUUUGCUAGGUUAAUGUCUGGACUUGAUGAUUUUAAAAGGCUUUUCCAACCUGAACAGUUCUAU